GGAUUGCAGCCUGCAACUCGGCUGCAUGAAGCUGGAAUCGCUAGUAAUCGCGGAUCAGAACGCCGCGGUGAAUACGUUCCCGGGUCUUGUACACACCGCCCGUCACACCAUGGGAGUCGGAAAUGCCCGAAGUCUGUGACCCAACCGGAAGGAGGGAGCAGCCGAAGGCAGGUCGGAUGACUGGGGUGAAGUCGUAACAAGGUAGC
rnacentral:rRNA from 1 species